rnacentral:rRNA from 1 species
ACUCCUACGGGAGGCAGCAGUGGGGAAUUUUGCGCAAUGGGGGAAACCCUGACGCAGCGAUGCCGCGUGGAGGACGAAGGUCUUCGGAUUGUAAACUCCUUUUGCGGGGGAAAAAUGGCGGCGUGAAUAACGUCGUUCGAUGGUACUCCGCGAAUAAGCCACGGCUAACUUCGUGCCAGCAGCCGCGGUAAGACGAAGGUGGCAAGCGUUACUCGGAAUUACUAGGCGUAAAGCGCGAGCAGGCGGUUCGGUAAGUCUGUUGUGAAAGCCCCGGGCUCAACCCGGGGAGGUCAAUGGAUACUGCCGGACUUGAAUACGGGAGAGGUCGCUGGAAUUCCUGGUGUAGCGGUGAAAUGCGUAGAUAUCAGGAGGAACACCAAAGGCGAAGGCAGGUGACUGGACCGUUAUUGACGCUGAGUCGCGAAAGCCGGGGGAGCAAACAGGAUUAGAUACCCUGGUAGUCCCGGCUGUAAACGAUGUUCACUAGGUGUGGGAGGUAUCAACCCCUUCCGCGCCGACGCUAACGCAUUAAGUGAACCGCCUGGGAAGUACGGCCGCAAGGUUGAAACUCAAAGGAAUUGACGG